CUUUACUGUAGCUUGGAAUUGAAUUUGGAUUUAUUUUGCGCAGCAUAGGUGGGAGGCUAAGACAAUAAGCUUGUGGGCUUAUUAGAGCCAUCAGUGAGAUACCACUCUAAAUAAAUUAGAAUUCUAACCUUGAUAGCCGUUAACCGGCCAAGGAACAGUUCCAGGUGGGCAGUUUGACUGGGGCGGUCGCCUCCUAAAAAGUAACGGAGGCGUGCAAAGGUUCCCUCAGACUGGUCGGAAAUCAGUCGUAGAGUGUAAAGGCAUAAGGGAGCUUGACUGCAAGACCUACAAGUCGAGCAGAGACGAAAGUCGGCCUUAGUG
rnacentral:rRNA from 1 species